rnacentral:lncRNA from 1 species
AGUUAAUAAGUCUGCCUACUCUAAUGAUAGAGCAUAUGCAUAUAGUGGUUGAAGAAAAGGAAGGAAGAUGUGGUAUGCCUUAUGGUUAAUUUUUGAACAAAGUUCUUAAUUAUUUUAGAGUGAUUAGGACUAAAGAAACACCAGAGAUAGUGAAAUAACUGAUCAAUUUAACCACACUGGUGGAAAAUAGGUGUAUUGAAGGGAAAGUGAGGAUUGUAUCCCGAGUGUUUAAACUAGUGGAUGCUUAAGAAAUCUUAUCCAAAGAGGUAGAAGAGUUGAGGAUUAUACUAGCAGCCAAAGACACUGAAACUUCAAAUUCAGAAGUUGUCCACAAAGGGACCAGGUGACACAGGAGAUCUUGCAGUAGAGAAUGCAAAACUCAAAGAAAAAAUUACAGAAUGACGGGUGAAAUAAAAAGACUAAAUAAUGAAGUAAAAGCUCUCAUCAAACAAUUGUUGGAUGCUUAUGCUGCUGCAGCUAAUAGAUUGGACAUGUUGCUAAAGUCAAUUUCUCUUAAGCCUCCUUUUACCUAUGUUCUAGUGUGUCAGUUUUUGUUUUUUGGUUCCAUGGUGGCCUUUAAAAGAAGUAGUUUUAUAAUUUAUUUUUGGUAUAUUGUGUUGAUACUUAUCCUAACUAGUUAUGAAUGAAUCUAUACUUGUGAUAUUAGAUUGCUUCUUUUACUUUAGGUGAUCCUUCAUGACAGUGUUUCCUCUGUGGCCAUUAGUUAAUUAUCUUGCACUUAUUUUACAUUAUAAUUUACUAUAUAUCUUUUUCAAUGAUUCCAACAGGUGGAAUACUACUAAAUUUAUAUGUAAGGACCUGACAGUACAAUGGUAGAAUAGUGAUGGGGGAAUAAAUACAAAUAUGCAAAUGCAUAAAUUGAUAUGGCAAAAUAAUACAAAGAUGCAAAUGCACAAAUUGAGGGUACAAAAUGACAGGUGGAAUUUUUUGCUACCAAAUGACAACAAGGGACCUAGUCCCUGUGUUGUAUUAUAGAAAAAGUAUGAUGAUAGGGUGAACAUUCAUACUCAAUUGGUAAUCACUCUAUUUAAAUGUGAUGAAUGUGCAUCAAAUUAUAUGAAAUAUCUAGGCUUUGCACCCUUAGAAAAAUUCCCUUAGGUGAAACUUUUGGACUAGGUGCGACUCAGGAUAUUGGUCGUACCCUAGUAUACUACUUAAUGACCCCCUCUCGUAUACUAGGUAGUGUGGUGAGUGUUACACACUAUUUAAGAUACAAUUUAACCUCUCCAUGGUCGUAUAUUAGUGUAUGAUCCAUACCAAGCUAAGUCGUAUGAUGUUUGGUACUUGGCCUAGUUGACACUAUUUUGGGUACGGUUUGUGGGUAUGAUUUAGGGUACCAUUUGUACCCUUGGGUAUGAUUCAUGAAUGUAUGGUCAUACCAUGGUCAGUAUAUAUGUCUUUGGUUAGGCCUAGGGUAUGAGUUAGCGUAUCACUCAUAACCUAAGGUAUGAUUGAGUAAGUGAAUUGUACCCACCUGGGUAGUCACUUUCCAACUUUUAAGUUAAGGGAUCUAUGGACAUUUAUCCACCCUUAAAACCCACAGUAUAUAACAUAUUUUGGCCCUUCAUUCCUUAUAAUUACAAGGUCAAAACACACAAAAAUCCUCUCAAAGACUUCUCCCACAAGAUUGAAGCUACAGUUCAAAGGGGUGUUCAUAUAGAACAAAAGAGGAGUCAAGUUUCUUUGGUAAAUCAUCUUGUUUAAGGCAUGUGACUCUUUCUCUUAUUAUUAACUAUAAAACAAUGUUUUUUAAAUAUGUAUUAAUAUUUGUAAAUGAUCAUUUUGAAAUCAAAUGAUAAGGAUUUUGUUGCCUAAUGAUGAGUAAUGUUUGCUUUUGUUUAGACUUAUCUUUUUAUAUGACAAUGGUGGUGAUUUGUACAUGUGGGAACUAGUUGUUUAUAGUUUAGCAAAUGGGUCUUGAUAAACCCUAAUGUUGAUGAUUUUUACUUUGAUAUUGGCUUUGUUAAGGGCAUACCCACAAGGUGUUUGUGAAAAUGUCUAGUCACAUUUUGAUAAUGUUUUAAACUAGGGAAAUGGCCCAAUAAGUGUCAAUGGUUGGUAAAUGUUAUUAAAAAUGAAUUAUUAGCCAUGUAAUUAUUUAAUGUAUGACCUUGUUGGUUUUACGGAUAAAAGGGGCUUAAAGUCCCUAAACAUGAAAUUAAAGUAUGUUGAACUAAAGUGUGGUAUAAUAUUUCUAAUAAAUAAUAAAUGGUUUUUAAGGAUCUUGAUGACCAGAAAUUGAAUUGAAUGAUGAAUUUAAUUAAGGCAUUGGAUUAUUAAAGUAUUUAUUUUAUGAGUGGUUUCAUGAAUACCUCGUGGUUGUAUAUGGUGAUAAAUAAGUUGAAUGGGCUAGAGUCCCUAAGUGUGAAAGUUAAAGAAUGUUACUAUGGACCAGGGGAUAGAGUCCCAAUGUCAACUACCGAUAGUUGCGAUGGCUUGUGUUUAAAGUCCCUUACAUAAUAAAGUGGCAUGUGGUUAGAGUCCUUUGAUUAAUGAAAUUGCUUGAGGUUAGAGUCCCUUGCCUAAAUAUGUCGACUUGUGGUUAGAGUCCCUUAUCUUAUAUGGCUUGUGGUUAGAGACCCUUGACGAACGAAAUAGCUUGUGGUUAAAGUCCCUUGCCUAAUGAAAAGGUAUCUGGUUAAAGUCCAUUUCUUAAUGAAAAUAUAUAUGGUUAAAGUCCCUAGCCUAAUGAGAAAUGUUUGAAUCUAUAAAUGUGGGAGGCCAAAGUCCUUUACUUCAUGACUCAUGAUUGAACGAAUCAAGAAUACUUGAUAAGUCAUGUUUUCUUUGGCACGUUAUGAAUAUGUUAUAUAUAUAUAUAUAUACAUAUAUAUAUAUACAUAUAUACAAUGCAUGCCCAUGAAUACGAAUGUGGUUAAAUAUGAUGAUUUGUCUUGAUUUUUAUAAACACUCAUUUUAUCCUUAUCCUUGAGUUACAUGCUAGCACUCCAACCACUAACCUUUUUCGGAUGCUAUGUCCCCACGCGACAUAGCGGUCAGAGCUUCUUCUUCUCUUCCUGGGUAGUGAUUAGGUGAUCGAAGUGGAUCAUGUGUUGACUUAAGUGGUGAGAUUCCCUACAUUGGAAGGUAUACGCUUUAUAGUCUCUUAUCUUUGGUCAUAGACUUAUUUAGAUUUUGUUUGGCUAUUGUCGGGGGCUUGCCUCGACAUAUUUAUACAUCGAAUUUGUGUAGAGGCAUUGUGGAUGACUAUGGACUUGGUAAUAUUUGUUAGAAUAUUGAUGUAAAUAAAAUGUGUAGACAUUUGUUAAGAUUAAUAGUAGACUUGUUUUCCGCUAUCUUGAUUCAUAGUUAGAAUUUAUCUGACACUAGUGCAUUGGAAUGAUGGUUAGGUUGACAGGGAAGUCUCCGGUCCAUGUUGGGCUUGAGAUGCCUAUACGACAAGGCCUGAUCAUGGGUCGUGUCAUUAUAUGGUUUGGUUUGUCAUCAUCAAAAAGGAGGAAAAUUGUUGUGUAGUUUUGAUGAUGAGCAACAAAACUGCAAGGGACUAGAUCCCUGGACGUGCAAAGUAUUGUACAGCUGGCACAUGGUAUCUACAUAGUUUUGUCCUUUUGUGUAACAAACUUGCAGGUGUUGUUUUGAACAGACAUGGAUAGUUAGUCCAAUGAUAUUCCAUCUGUAAUCAUCACCUAUCUAUAAAAGGAAAGAGACACCUCUUUAACAAUUGGUUUUUGUAGAUUCUAAAGAGUAAAAAGUAAGAAAACAAAAACCCAUUUCAUUACUCCUCAAGUUCUUAGCAGUUUAUGUGAGCUUAAAUUUAACUUGUUCUUGAUUGAGUAUUGAAUUGUGAUCGAACUACUCAUACUAUAAGAAUAGUGUUUUCUUUUAGAGAUAUUUUCUUAGGUAGAGUUACUUAAGCAUUAUUGCUAAUUAAAGUUAGUCAGCAGAGAGAGCCCUUGGUAGAGUUACCAGGAUAAGCUUAUAGUAAAGUUUCUAUAAGAGAAAGAUCCUAGAGGUAGGCUGAAAUCUAGAUUAUAAUCAGAAAUUUAAUUACAGUGGAUCUCUUUGAUACUUGUGUAAUUCCCCGAGAGUACACCCUAGAUUCCACACGGUGCUUACAGUCCCGAAAGACCACAAGCUAAUCCAUGACUAGUACCUGCUAUGAGCACUGAGUAUAACUGAUAUCAAAAGAUCAUAUGUGGAAUUUAACUAAAAUAUAACAUAAGGUUUUAAAAUAUAUUUCAGAUAAUGUCGGUCGAACAAUACUGAUAAUACUGACAAAACAACUAAAAACUGACAAACUAUCUGUACUAGUCUGAAACUAUCGGUCGAACAAUAUUGAUACUGAAGAACCAGAGUAUCAAACAUAAAUUGGUGGGGGAUCUCUAGGCGGAGUUCAGCCUAAUAUAACGGGUGACCCCUGGGAUAAAGUCAAGCCUAAACUGAUGGGUGACCCCUCAUCCUACUCUAGCUAUGUAGUUCUGGAAUACAGUAACUUCUAAUAACGACUCUGCCUAAAUAACGGGGAAACCACCAUCCCUACACUCACGGGGUGAUAAAUCCUACUCCUAGCUAAAAGAAAUUGAAUAUUGGACUGAAUAAAAUUUAACUGUUUAUGCUAACUGACUGAACUGAUAACGCUCAUAUCUAUUCUGAAACCAUUCUAUAGAUACUGAAAAACUAGGUAAGCAACUAAAUUUUGGAUAUUCAAAACUCCCAGAACUCUAUAGAAGUAACAAUAAGAUCAUGCUAAAACUUUGAGGACAUGAUAAGUAGUCAUUAUUCACAACUCAUUCUCUUAGACAUUUUAUCUAACACAUGAGGGUCAUGAUUUAAAGCAUGACAAUAGUUUAAAACAUAUGAUAAUCAGAUGGCUAUAAUACUAAACCACUAAUUAGGGAUUUAACAUGAAAAAUCAUCAAUCCAACAUGUAAAUUUUAAUUUCAACAACUCAUGCAAACAUCAUGUAUAAUCAAAAACUGUAAAGAUUCAUGGAGAUAGUUUAUUGUAAACAUGUAAACUAAUGAUUUAAACCCUAAAAAUGAAUUCUUGGACUCCAUAGGUGAAAAGGGUUCAUGCAUGACCAUCAAACAUACCUUAACUUCUUGAUCUUGAAAGAGAAUUAACUUUUCUUAAAUGUUCUUGGAUUGGGAAAGUUAAAUUCUUGAUUAUCUUGAAGAAAGUGUAAUAGAGUCUUGAUGUUCUUGGGAGAUUACCUUAAGAAGAAACCCUAAUUUUUUUUGUUGUUCUUGAGAGUAGAGGAGUUAAUGGCAUCUAAAACUGAUAAGUUAUGGCUAAUAACGCAUAAUGAUGCUUUAAGCCAUGUGUGAGGUACGGUUUGAGGUGAGGAAAACUCCAAAAUACCCAUCCGAAGUUGAAUAAAAAUUACUGAAAUUUUUAGAGGAUGACUUGAGUUGAUAACUUAUCAACUAGUUGAUGACUUAUCAAAUUAAGUCAUCAACUUAUUGUUGGAUUUGGGCCCUUUCUGGUCUGGGUGACGACUUGGGUUGAUAUGUCAUCACUUAGGUGACGGCUUAUCACCUCAAGUCGUCACUUUGGGGUAGAGAUUAUGACAUACUAAUUAUGGGUGACGACUUGGUUAGAUAAGUCAUCACUUAGUUGAUGGCUUAUCAACUCAAGUCGUCACUUGGAAGCUGAAUUUGAUGGUUUCUGGUUGGGCUAACGACUUGGGCUGAUAAGUCAUCACUUAGUUGACAACUUAUCAACUCGGGUCGUCACUUUGUUGACAGACAGACAUGCUGAAGUAAAAGGAGUAUAACUUUCUACUCUAAUGUCGGAUUAAGGUGAAACCAAAUGUGUUGGAAAGAAGAUUCAAAGAUAUUUAUUUGUGUAUAUAGUAGGAAACGUAACUUAUUAUGUAUAAGGUGUAAUGGUCAUUUAAAGUUGAUCCAAGCUGAAAUGUCCCCUAAAACUUAACCAAUAGAAGUGUUCUUAAGUCGUCUUUGAGUUUGAAUAUUUCUAUGACCUCGACUAAUAUAAAAGGAAUUUUUCACACUAUCUAAUUUAUCAUCAUACAUAUAUAUACAUAGAAUAAUUGGGUUCAAUUCUUUAUACUUAGGAACAACAGUUUGAAUUCUAGCCCAAAAAUGUGGGGUGUUACUUUAGCUCCCCUUUGGGAACAUUUAUCCUCAAAUGAGAAUGGUUAGACCGAGAGUACUCUACUAAGGUAACUAAGAGCAUAUACUAAACCUGUAUGAUCAGGAAUAUGAUUACAUGACUGAGUCUAAAAUAUGAUAUAUGACUGAAUUGAUUUCAUGAAUACAUGCAAUGACAUAAAAAUGGUUACAAGGCUGAGAUUGAAACGAGAGAGUCAACUUAUGAGUAACCAUUACCUCCAGCUGGAUCUUGUUUCAUGAAGAAAAGAUAAUGAUUUAGGAGAUGAAAACUUUGGGUAUUACAACAUCUCCCCUUUUGGAUACUUUUUUCCCCAAAUGAUACUGACUUGGCUGAAUUAUUAAGGAAAGAUUGAGAUGAUACAUAGGAUAUUUAUGAACUGAAUCAUGACUGCAUAUCUAGAAUCUGAAAUUGAUGCAUGAUGCAUGCACUGAAAUGGAUUCAGAAUUCAUAUGGAUGUAAACAAACUAUAUCUUGGAAGGGCCAUAUUCAUUAAACUACAGAUAGUAAGACCAGAUCGAAAGACGGAAAAACCAUAGGGACUUGUAUAUCUGAUUGCUAAUAUGAAUUGUUGGCUAUACAGACUAACUCAUACUGAAAGCUUAUGCCCAAUUGGAGCAUUUUUUCAAUGCAUUUCCUUAGAAGUUCUAAUAGCAUUAAAGAGAAUGUAAUCUUGGGCAUGAUCUGAAUAAGACAUCUAUAUAAGGAAUACCAAUAUGGCUAUAAUUCUAUAACAUGAAACAUAGGCCUACGAAACCUCUUCUAGGAUAGAAUUGCUAUGCCUUAGACAAUGCAACUGCUACUUUCAACCUUAGAUAUAUUCCUAAAAUACUCCUUUGACUAUACCUUCCACCUUGAUGCUUCACUUCACCUAAGACUACUGAAAAUAUUAACAUGGGCACUGAUAACUCUACUUACUGAAGUCUGAGCUAGACUGAAUUCUCCCACUAUGGUCAAGCCUACUCAAAUCUACAAAAUGUACACAUAACACUGUAAUACAAGUCUUAGUCAUGAAUUCAAUACUCUAUGCAUUCAUACCUUCCCAUCUCUUGAAUAAUUCUAAUUUCCCCUUCAACAACUAAGUACAACCUCUUACUAGCCAUUCACUAACACAUAAUGCAUUUGUCCACUUACACACCAAUAUGACAUUCAAGCCAAUCUUCAUAACUACUGCAUCAUGUAAAACAAGAAUGCAGUAAUCUUUCCUUCACAUGAAAUAUUUACUCUCUCCCACUUAAGUAAUUUCUCAUCACUACAUAAUUUCAUUAGGAGAAGUCAUUGAAAGGUUGAAAUAUGAGGACCUAAAGCAUGCAUGAACACUAUACAAAACUUGACACUUAAAAGAUACCCGAGGAAUAGAAUAUCAAUAUCAUGGAUUCAUCCAGGGACCUAAAAUAAGGAUAUACAUGACAUAAUCUGAAGUUUACUGAUCAUUAGGAAGGUAGCAUGAAUCUUUGGAACUGAGCAUACUAUAAAACAUGGAUACAUGAGUCAUGAGCUCCAUGACCUGAGUUCGGAGUUUUUGAAUUCAUAGAACAUGAUUCAUACUACUGAGUGAACUGAAACUCUUCAUACUAGAUAUUGGAAGUAUACAUAAUUUUAUGGCAAAUGUAUGAAUAUGAGCUAUGAUCAUGGAGAUGAAAUAUAAGGCAUGAGUAGAUAUCAUGAUGACUGAAAAACCCUGUACUGGGAUAAGAAUGGGUUAGGCAUCCUCCUCCCUUACGGCUAUUCUACAACAUACUGGCAUCACUAUUGGGAUCUGAGAGCCUGACUUGGUUACUUGUUCUAUUAUCUCACCCUUAGCUUCAAUCCAUCAUUCUAAGUCUAUGAACCACUUAAUAAACUCUAAGCUAAACUAAAACCACUUUCUCCAGAGUCUGAGAUAUAACAAUACUCGUACAUACUCAACUCACCCUGAAAAGUUGCAUUUGAAAAUGUAAAACUCUAACGACCCAAAAUGCCUCUCGGGACGUCACACAGUGCUUAAGGCUACAAGAAGCCUCAAGCUAACCCUUAUAGCUAGUUUCUACGAACUACACUCAAUACAAUAUAAAAUAGACUUAAACACUCGCAUAAUCAUAUCAUGUAAAAGGAAAUAUGGAAAGAUACUCGGUCCAUAUAACCACAAUACAGAGAAACCUCAACAAAACCAUAAUACCAAACUCUCAAUACAUCACAAGUAUGAUACUAGUAUGACAAAACCUCUAUGAAUCAAAAACUAGAGAGCCAUUGGGAUAGGUCCCCAACUGAAUCGAAAUGAACUGAAGAUAAAACAUAGUCUCUCAAAUACAAAAAUUAUUUAAAGAUCGAUCCUCGAACCAUGAGGAAUCACCACUAUAGAAAACGUAGGCAAGGUACUCGAAGAAUCAUGGAUGAGGCUGGGAGUGAACACCUAAACGUACAUUAUAAGACAAUGUAGCACAUAGACAUAUAUAUAAAUCAGUACUUUGGAAUGUACUGAGUAUGCGGGGGUGAAUGCAUAUGUAUAAAAAUAGUACCGAUCUUCUUCAAUCAAAUCAUGUAUGCAAAAUGAGACGACUCACAUGGAUUUAACAAGUAUAAAAUAUAAAGCUCAUAAGUCAUGUAGGAUGGAGCAUGUAACACAAAUCUCAUGAGUCAUCAUUGUUUAAUCUUUAAAAUCAGGAAUCUUCUCUUAUUCUCUAUGCCUAUCUGGUAAGGAACUUUAAACAAUAACUUCAACUCAUGCAUAUGUCUCAUAGAGAGUAAAAACUUCUCUCUCAUAGAGAGUAAAACCUUCUAAAUGCUCAAUAUUACAUAACCAUUUAAAACUCGUAUACUUGGAAAUCGGAAUCAUAUGACUCGGAAAACAUACUUGAAGGUAUUUCAUUCACUUUAGGAAAUUAUCUCAUUUCAAGCUUUAGGUAAAAUCAUGCUAUCUCAAAUGGAAAAGUAUUCUAGCUUAAGGAAAUAACUUAUCUCAAAGUUUUAUGAAAAGUGCCAUAACAAGGGAAGAUGAUUUCAUUUAGGAAAAUAACUCUCAUCAAGAAAAUACCUUAGUUUGGGAAUAUCUUUGCAUUUCAACUAUUUAGGAAAGUAGACUAUAAGAAAGGAAAAUAAGUAUUUGAUCUCGAAGUUUUAAAGGGCAAAGAAGGUUCUCAUAACUGACAUAAACCAUGCGAGCUACAUGGAGUCCAAUGUUUUGUCCCCCUAAGGAAGAGACCUCAUGUUGGGGAGGAGCGUCAUGCUCUUGUCAGAGAGUAUAACCUAGGUCUAGUGAUCACUAAACGAAACUCGGACUCGGGCACAAUCAUAUUCAUUAUAAACUUGGCCUCAGGCCCAACCUACGGUGGCACGUAGUUUUGGGGUAAGAAACCGUAGUGACUUACCCGCUCGGUGCAAAGUAGUACUCCCUUUAGAUUAUCUACACUCAUCACAUAAAAAUCCACUUUUAGAAUAAUAUUGUGGUUCACCACGAACCCAAUAAUCAUAUCGAUAAUCUCAUAUGAUGAAAUGGAUUUUAAAGCUUUCGGACCACUCAAUUCAUUUUUGAAUCAUCUCAAAAUAUUCAAAUCAUGGGUGCUUAUAGCACAAGAGUUCAUAAUUUCACAAGUCUCAAAUAGGUCUUACUAACCCAGAGUUCAAUCUCAAGUUAAAGCUCAUCAAAAGCAUAAUAUGUAAAAUAUAGAUUCAUAAAUCAUGUGGAAAUCUGGGAAUUUCAGCAAUUUAUCUCAAAAUCUCAAUAUAGUCAUAUGCUUCAAUAUCUCAACAUUGCAAAUAUUAGAUUCUCAAGAAGUAAAAUCAUGGGGUUUAUACCCAGCUAUAAAUUCUUAAUAAAACAUGCAGAAAUCAUGUCAUUUAACUCUUAAUUCAUGGGAAAUAUCAAGAUAAUGCAUUGAAUAAUAAUAAUAGGUGAAAAACCCCAAUUCAAAUUCAUGUAAAAACCUCAUAGAUUUUAGGAAAUUCAUGAUGUAAAUAAGCCUUUUGGGAAUAAGGGUGGAAGGGUGAUCCUUGUUCAAAACCCCACAUUCCUUGAAUUAGAAGCUUUGGAUGAACUCUCACUUUUGGAACUCUAUUCGUACUCUUGAAUGACAGUUCUUGAGGCACUUGACUUGGGAACCUUGAAUCUUGACUCCAUUUAGAAAAUCCAUGGUGGAUUCUUGAAAUUCUUGGAAGAGGUUUUGGAUACUUAGGGUUUUUAUGAGAGAAAACUUUAGAAAAACCUCAUAGGAUGCUUGCAAAUGACUUUGAUUUGGUGUUUGCACGGUUUUAUAGGCAUGAAAAAGGUCCAAAAUACCCCUUUUAACAGCUAUACAAAGCUGGAAAAGUUGAAAUGGGAACCCGAUUUAAGGGGUCACCAUGAUGCGCCACUUAUCACGGUGGCUCAUUGGAAUUGACAAUUGGCAAUACGGGAGUCACCGCAAUACGGAGCCAUCGCAUUUUCCCACUGGUUGGGACCUAGAACCUCAGCGCAAUACUCCAAUAUCAUGGAGUUCCACUAGAAUUUGAAAAAUGUCAAAUUGACCCUCUCCGCAACGCGCCAAGCACUGAAAUGACGUAGUUUUACGACUAGGUCUUAAAUUAGCCAUAACUUCUUACCUUGGUAUCAGAUUUGAGCAAAUCUUAUAUCGAUGGAAAUCUUAUCAGAUUUCCCACAUGAUAGAAAGCCAAAAUUAGGGAAAUUCUCUAUGGUUAACACAAUACUGACUUUGGAAUCCACUUCUCAUUCUUUUAGGGCCGAAAUCAUGCCUCACUUUACACACCCUACGGCUCAAACUGCGAGAAAACUUUGUGGGGCCUUCCAAUAUCUUUUCCUUUGGAAUAUUCGUCCUUGAAUGUCACUAAUUAGGCUAGGAAUACAUGAAAAAUAGAAUACACAUAGCUGAAACAAUUACUAAAUGGUUCAAGAUCUUUCUAAACUCAUGAAUACUCCGGAAAAUGUAAGAACUCAUACAAGGAUAGAUACAUAUCUGAACUUUAGAUUAGAAGAGCUGAAUCAAGGAAGAAUAGUACCUUCAGCUUGGUUUGAACCCAUGGAAAAGAGCUGUUGGUACUUGGCUCGCAUGUCUGCUUCUACCUCCUUAGUAGGACUCUCAACAGACUAGUUCCACCAUAAAACUUUGACCAAGGAGACUUCUUUGUUCCUUACUCUAUGGAUUUGAAAAUCUAGGAUCUCCACGGGAAUCUCAUCGAACGAAAGCCUAUCCUAAAUAUCAACACUUUUUGAAGGAUCAACCACAACAGAAUCACCUAUAUGCCUCUUAAGCAUGGAGACAUGAAAGAGAGGAUGAACAACGGAUAACUCCAAGGGAAACUAAACCUCGUAGGCCACUUCACCAACACGGCUCAAGACUCGGUACGGGCCAACAUAACGGGGGCUAACCUUUUCCUUCUUACCAAACCUCUUCACCCCUUUUAUGGGUAAAAUCUUUAAGUAUACCAAAUCACCCACCCCAAACUGAAGAUCUCUCCUCCUCACAUCUACAUAAGAUUUUUGAUGACUCUGAUCUGUAACGCCCCAAAAAAUGAGUCCCAGAGUGUCACACAGUGCUUGAGGCUACGAGUAGCCCCAAGCUAACCCUUUGAGACAUUUUCAUUCAGUUCAACACAAAUCUAUAGGGUUUUCAUAAAUAACCCUUAAAUAUCAACAAAGUAAUCAUCAUCGAAGAAUAAAAGAAUUUCAGAAAGAUAACAAAAUAUGACUUAUUAGUCAACUUCCAACAUCUAUACUAGUCUGAUAAGCCUCUACAAAAAUCAAUAAAACCAGCAAGCCAUUGAGACAUGCCCCAACAGACUCAUACUUAGUUAUCAAAUGUAAACAAUUUCGUAAAACCAAUAUCAGACAUCACGUCCUCAGAACAUGAGGACUCACCACAAUAGAGGAUAUAUAACAUCAUGCCUGAAGAAUCACAGUCAAACCUGGAACUGAGCACUUGAACCUACAUUUUGAGAAAAUUCAGCCCACAUCCGAAGAUGUGGGUCAGCACCAUGGAAGAAAACACACAGAGACUGGGAGAUCCUAUAACCAAAAUAAACCAUGUGAGCUACAUGGAGUCCAACGUACAACCCACGUUGGGGAGAGCCGUCCUAUCCUUGCCAUUAGAGUAGGACUAUCGAUAUCAAAUCCACAUAAACUAGUGAUCACUAUAUAAAUUAGCCUCAGUCUCACUCCUACAGGGGCACGUAGUUCUAGAGAAGUAAGGUCACUUUAUACCUCCCACUCGGUGCUAAAGAUUUCUCCCGAUCUUAGCUUAGAUCAUUUCAAAGACAAUCCACAAUAAAACAAUUUUAGUAAUAUGUAAAUAUACAUCGAGAGCCAUCAUGCUUCCCAUCUAUCAAAAUCAACCACGUUGUGGAUUUCUUUCACACUCGAGUUCAAAACAACUCUACUAAGACCAAAAGGUCAAAUCAUUCAAAAUAUAUCAAAUAUUCAACAUCAACGUGCUUAUAACACACUCUCUAAAAAAUAGAAUUUCCAAUAGGGAUUCAUGACCCCAAUAUGAAAAUCAUGAUAAAUAUCGUUCAAGAUUCAUGCUUUAUAUCUCCACACAUGUAAAUUCAUUUUUCAAAAUCAUAAACAUCAAGAUUUCAUAAUAAUCAUCAUAAGAUAUGGUUUCAUGCUUCAAAUUCGUAAAAAUCAAAUAAAAAUCAUGCCUUUGUAAAGAAAAUUACUUUUGGGCACAAGAAUGAAAAAGAGUUCUUGUUGAAAAACACCACAUACCUUGAAUGAUGAACUUUAGAUCGAUACUCAUUUUUGAGAUGUUAAUCGUUCCUUUGAAUGAUGGUUCGUGGAGUUCUUGAACUAGGAACUUGGAAUCUUGAAUAAAUUUGCAGAAUUAAUGGUGAACUUUGGAGGUUCUUGAAGUUGGGUAUAGGAGCUUAGGGUUUUCUUUUUGAGGGAAUUUGAUGAAAUAUUACAUAUAAUGCUUCUAAUAGGCUUUGAUAUAGGGUUUGGAUAGAUUUUAGGUGAGGGGGAAUGACCAAAACGCCCCUAAAAAUCAAAUAAUUCUCGAAUCUAUCCUUUGGUGGACUGUUUUGAUAGUCUGAAGUAGAUCAACCAUAACGUCUUACUCCGAUAUCCAAAUUGGAUGAAACAAAUUUCAUUAGAAAUAAAACUCUCAUAUAUUUCCGUUGAUAUAUAUAGUAUCUCACGCAGAUCAUUGUUUACAAAGAGUUAUGAUCAUUUGAAGUUGACCUGAAAAUUCACUUUUGUUAGGCUGAAGUAGAUCGGCCAUAACUUUUUGCUCUGAUAGAAAAAUUUGAUGAAACUAAUUUCAUUGGAAAGAGGACUCACAGAGCUUUCCGUUGAUAUACAGUAGAUCACCCAGAUCAUUAUGUACAAGGAGUUAUGAUCUUUUAAAGUUGGAGCACAAAUACGUCAGGCCUCAGUACUUUUUCCUCCACAUUUUACUAUUCACGAUUCGAUCGGAAUUUUCAUAACUCGUCGCUCGGGUGUCCGUUUUGGAUGAUCCACAUAUCGUUGGAAAUAUUAUUUGAUACUCUAUGUAAUGUUGGAUCAUAAUCCAAGACAUUCCGCAUGAAAAAUUUAUAAUUCAUUCUAGAAGAUAGAACUCAACACGUUUAUGUACAAAAUUUCAAUGAAAAAUUUCCCGGGGUAUUACAUCAUCCCCCCCUUGAAAAUAUUCAUCCUCGAAUGAUGCUAGACAUGCCAAGAUUAGAUAGGGAAUAGAGCAUACAGCUGAAACCAUUCGUUAGACUCAUCACCAUAUCGUUUCUCACUCCGAAUCCAACAUAGAAUGCAUAAAUUCAAGAAACUACAACUGAACACAUAAUAAAUGAUAGCUGAACUAUUGUAACUUUUAUCAAAAGUGCAUGAUUUAGGAAAGAACGAUACGUUCGGCUUGAUCGGAGUUCACAGAAAAUAGGUGCGGGUACUUGGAUCGGAUAUCCGCCUCAGCUUCCCAAGUUGCACCCUCAACAGAUUGGUUUCACCACAACACCUUGACCAAGGGAACUUCUUUGUUCCUUAGUCUUCGGUCACUGAAAUCAAGAAUCUCAACAGGAAUCUCAUCAAAAGAAAGAUUUUAGCUCCCUUACCAACACGGCUAAGAAUUUUGUAUGGACCAACAUAACGGGGACUAAUCUUCCCCUUCUUUCCAAAUCUCUUCAUCCCCCUCAUGGGUGAAAUUUUCAGAUACACUAGGUCACCAACUUCAAACUCAAGGUCUCUUCUUCUAACAUCCGCAUAUGACUUCUGACGACUCGGCGCAAUUUUCAACCUUUUCCUAAUCAACUUAACUUUUUCCAUAGCCUCAAAUACCGAAUCAGGACCAGUCACAGCCGCUUCAUCCACAUCGAAUCAACCUAUGGGUGAUCUACAUUUCCUCCCAUAUAAGGCUUCAAUGGAGCCAUGCCAAUACUAGAGUGGAAACUGUUAUUGUAAGCAAACUCUAUCAACGGUAAGUGAUCAUCCCAACUUCCCUUAAAGUCAAGUGCACAAGCUCUCAACAUAACCUCUACGUUCUGGAUAGUCCGCUCAGCCUGACCAUCGAUCUGCAGAUGAAAAGCAGAACUCAAAAUCACAUGGGUACCAAGAACCUUCUGAAAAGCUUUCCAAAAUUACGAAGUGAACUGAGUACCCCUAUCCAAAAUGAUAAACAAGGGAACUCCAUGCAGUGUGACUAGCUCUUGAAUAUACAAUCUAGCGUAAUCCUCAGUAGUAUAUGAAGUAUGAACAAGCAAGAAAUGAGAAGACUUAGUCAACCUAUCAUCCACAACCCAAUGAAUCAUGAUGACAUCGGAAAGGAGGUAAACCAAUCACGAAGUCCAUAUUUAUCUCUUCCCACUUCUAGGUGGGAAUACUAAACUCUUGCAUCAUACCACCAGGUCCUUGGUGUUCAACCUUAACCUGUUAGCAUGUUGUACACGUAGCUACAAACGCUGCUAUAUCUUUGUUCAUGACACUCCACCAAUAGAUUUCCCGCAAGUCUUGGUACAUCUUGGUGGCACCAAGAUUAAUAGAAUAUCGCGCCCCGUGCACUUCAUCCAUAAUCCUCUGUCUCAGAUCAUCAACAUUCGGGACACACAAUCUACCCUGCAAUCUCAACNNNNNNNNNNNNNNNNNNNNNNNNNNNNNNNNNNNNNNNNNNNNNNNNNNNNNNNNNNNNNNNNNNNNNNNNNNNNNNNNNNNNNNNNNNNNNNNNNNNNNNNNNNNNNNNNNNNNNNNNNNNNNNNNNNNNNNNNNNNNNNNNNNNNNNNNNNNNNNNNNNNNNNNNNNNNNNNNNNAACAUGGACACCAUACAAAUAGUGUCUCCAGAUUUUCAAAGCAAACACAACAAUAGCCAACUCAAGCUCAUGGGUAGGGUAAUUUUUCUCAUGGGGUUUCAACUGUCUAGAAGCAUAAGUUAUCACCUUACCCUUCUGCAUCAAUAUGCAACCCAAACCAACCCUCGAAGCAUCACAGUACACCACAAAACCAUCAACACCAUCAGGCAAAGUCAAAACAGGGGUUGAAGUGAAUCGAGUCUUCAACUCCUGAAAAAUCUUCUCACAAGAUUCGGACCACAAGAACUUCACUUUUUUUUUGGUUCAACCGAGUCAUAAGUGACACUAUAGAGGAGAAACCCUUAACAAAACGGCAGUAAUAGCCAGGUAAACCCAAGAAACUUUGGAUAUCAGUCAGAGAAAUAGGUCUAGGCCAAUUUCUAACAGCUUUGGUCUUUUAGGGAUCAACUCUAAUACCCUCGGAAGAAAUGAUAUGACCCAGAAAAGCAACUGACCUUAGCCAAAACCCACACUUACUGAACUUGGCAAACAAAUUAUGAUCUCUAAGGGUUUGCAAGACAGUUCGGAGAUGAUCAGAAUGUUCAUCCUCACUACGGGAGUACACCAGUAUAUCAUCGAUGAACACUAUGACAAACAUAUCUAGAUAUGGUCUGAACACUCAAUUCAAGUUGUUCAUGAAAGCUGUUGGGGCAUUGUUAACCCAAAAGACAUAACAAAAAACUCAAAAUGUCCAUAACGAGUUCGAAAAAUGGUUUUCGGGAUGUCACACUCCCUAACUUUGAGUUGAUGAUAGCCAAAACAAAGGUCUAUCUUUGAGAAAUAACUUACACCUUACAAUUGGUCAAAUAAAUAAUCUAUUCUCGGAAUGGGGUACUUAUUUUUUAUGGUGACUUUAUUCAGUUGGCGGUAAUUAAUGCACAUACGCAAAGAGCCAUCUUUCUUUCUUACAAAUAACAUAGGAGCACCCCAAAGAGAAACACUGGGCCUUAUAAAACCCUUAUCUAGUAGAUCUUUGAGUUGCUCUUUCAACUCAUUAAGUUCUGCAGGGGCCAUAUGGUAAGGAGGAAUAGAAAUAGGCUGAGUAUCGAGAAAAAAAUCAAUCCCAAACUCUAUUUCUCUAUCAGGAGGUAUACCUAGGAGAUCAUCCAGAAAGACAUCAGAAAACUCAUUGACGACGUUAACAGACUGGAGAAUUGGAGUCUCAAACUUUGUGUCUUUGACUAUAACCAAAUGGUAAAUACACCCCUUGGAAAUAAGCUUUCUAGCUUUGAUGUAAGAGAUAAAAUGACUCUUGGGUGACACAGAAUUCCCAGACAACUCAAACACGGAUGCACCCAAAAACUGAAACUUGACCACUCUAGUCCGAUAAUCAAUAAAGGCAUAAGAAGAAUACAGCCAAUCCAUACCCAAAAUCACAUCCAAAUCUACCAUGUCUAACUCAAUCAAAUCAGCCAACAAGACUCUAUGAAGAACGAUAACAGGACACUUUUUAUACACUUUCUGGGCAACAAUCGAAUCACCCACUGAGGUAGAAACUAGGAUAGGUUCAGGAAUAGUCUCAGGACUCAUUUCAAAAUUCACAGCAAUUAAAGGUGUAACAUAUGAGAAACUGGAUCCAGGAUCCAACAAAGCAUACAUAUCAAACUAAAAUAUACGAAGCAUAGCAAUAAAAACAUCGAGAGAGUCCUUCUAUUCCUGGUGGGACGAUAAAGCAUUCUAGCACUGCCCGCCAGCAUUCUUAGAAGAGGCGCCCUGAGCUGGGGCUAGGAGAGUCACUGGAACUGAAGCACUAACAGUCUGAAUCUAGGUCUGAGAGCAAUAGUCACGAUGCCCUUGUCCAUCCUGUGAACAAUCUCUAACACUGUGACCCAUGUUACCACAUCGGAAAUAACCUCUCUUCUCACCCCAACACUCACCCGAAUGAGCCUUACCACACUUAGGACACAGGGGAUGAUUUGUCUUACUGCUAGCACUGUACUGGGACCUGGAUGCAUAUGACCUGCUACCUUGAUCCUGCCUACCUAUAGGCACGGGAGCACUAGCAGAAAAUGGUGCUAGCAUAGGCCAACGAUCAUGAUACUGAGGGUGACUCCCUUCCUGCGAUCUAGUCUGACCCUGUCCGUGCUGCUCGGACCUAGCUCUCUUAUUCCCUCAUAUUCUAUCUCUCUCCUUAAUCUUGUCUGCCUCAAUCUGUUGGGCAUGAGUCAUCAGCCUAUUAAGAUUCAUCUCACUAUUCAGCAUAGCAGACCUACACUCCUUAACCAUAUAACUAAACACUCCAGUCACAAACUUACUCAUACUAGCCCGAUUAUCAGCCACUAAGUGAGGGGCAUACUUGGCCAAUUGAUUAAACUUUAGAUAGUACUCCCUAAUAGUCAUAUAGCCCUGCCGCAAGUUCAUAAACUCUUCCACCUUCGCCUCUCUUAUCUCCAAAGGGAAAAACUUAUCCAAGAAUGCAUCCUGGAACACUUGCCAAGUUGUAGGGACAACUCCCUCUCCUCUAUCUUUUCUUCAAGCAACAACCCAGUCAUAAGCAAGGUCUUUCAAACUAUACGCAGCCAACUCCACACUAUGUUUCUCAGAUACAGGCAUCACCUGAGUAAUCUUCUGUACCUUCUCUAAAAACAAAUAUGGAUCCUCAUCAGACUUGGACCUAUAGAAUUCCAGAGAAUUCAUCCACAUGAAGUCAUGGAUCCUAGCAGUAGCUGAAUUAUCUCCCUACUACUGUGGAGCCGGGGCUGGGUUGGCUUGAAUAUUUGCAGUAACAACUUGGGCCAGUGCCUAAAAGGCUGCCCGAAAUUCAGCAUGAGACACAUUUUCAUUCAAUGGGUCAGCGAGUUGAGGUUGCUGACCAUCAUUAUUUCUUCUCGCUCGACGUGGAGGCAUAUUUUUGAAAGAGGAAAGCAUGAAUCAAUAGCAAAGAGAGACACUUUAAGAACGAUAUACUUCUGAAAGAAAGAAUCACACUUUUUCCUAAAACGUCUUGUAGCCUCUUGUUCAUAGAUGUGGCGCACUACACAUCGAUGAUCAAGACUCUACUUAACGCGGCUUGUCAGACUUCCUAGGAUACCUUAAAACCUUAGGCUCUAAUACCAUGUUUGUAACGACCCAGAAAAUGGGCGUCGGAAUGUCACAUAGUGCUUGAGGCUACGAGUAUCCCCAAGCUAACCCUUUGAGCCAUUUUCAUUCUGUUCAACACAAAUCAAUGGGGUUUCCAUAAAUAAGCCUCAAAUAUCAAUAGAGUAAUCAUCAUCCAAGAAUAAAAUAAUUUCAGAAAGAUAAUAAAAUACGACUUAUUAGCCAACUCCCAACAUCUAUACUAGUCUGACAAGCCUCUAAGAAAAUCAAUAAAACCAGCGAGCCAUUGAGACAUGCCCCAACUAACUCAUACUCAGUUAUUAAAUAUAAAAAAUUCCGUGAAACCAACAUCAGACAUCACAUCCUCGGAAUAUGAGGACUCACCACAAUAGAGGAUGUAGAACAGCAUGCCCGAAGAAUCACUGUCGAACCUGGAAUAGAGCACCUGAACCUACAUUCCAAGAAAAUGCAGCCCACAUCUGAAGAUGUGGGUAAGUACCAUGGAAAGGAACCGAGUAUAUGGGGGUGUAUGCAGUUUUAUAAACAUUAUCAUCAUAAAUAUUUAUAAGAAAUAUGCAGGAUGUAUGAAAAACUCACAUAGCCUUAAGAAAAUCAUCAUAGUCAUGAGAGGAUAAAAUAAGUACAAUAACAUAUGUGAGUCAUCAUAUAAUUUGUCAAUCACUUUCAGUUCAUCAAGAAUAUCAAUUCUCAUAAUGUAAAUAUCAUUUAAAUCUUUUGAAAGAAUAACUUUCACAAUUCGGGUAAGUACCAUGGAAAGGAACCGAGUAUAUGGGGGUGUAUGCAGUUUUAUAAACAUUAUCAUCAUAAAUAUUUAUAAGAAAUAUGCAGGAUGUAUGAAAAACUCACAUAGCCUUAAGAAAAUCAUCAUAGUCAUGAGAGGAUAAAAUAAGUACAAUAACAUAUGUGAGUCAUCAUAUAAUUUGUCAAUCACUUUCAGUUCAUCAAGAAUAUCAAUUCUCACAAUGUAAAUAUCAUUUCAAUAUUUCAAAAGAAUAACUUUCACAAUUCCAAUUUCAAACCACUUCACCAUUCACCAUAGACACAAGGAAACACACACACACUAGGAGAUCCUAUAAACAACAUAAAAUAUGUGUGCUACAUGGAGUCCAAAGUACAACCCAUGUUGGGGAGAGCCGUCCUAUCCUUGCCAUCGGAGUGGGACUAUCGAUAUCAAAUCCACAUAAACUAGUGAUCAGUAUAUAAAUCAACCUCAAGCUCACUCCUAUGGGGGCAUGUAUUUCUAGGGAAGUAAGGUCGCUUUAUACCUCCCACUCGGUGCUAAAGAUUUCUCCUGGACUUAGCUCAGAUCAUUUCAAAGACAAUCCACAACAAAAUAAUUUCAGUAAUAUAUAAAUAUACAUCUGGAGCCAUCAUGCUUCCCAAACCACACAUGUAAAUUCAUCUUUCAAAAUCAUAAACAUCAAUAUUUCAUAAUAAUUAUCAUAAGAUAUGGUUUCAUGCUUCAAAUUCGUAAAAAUCAAAUAAAAAUCAUGCCUUUGUAUAGAAAAUUACUUUUGGGCACAAGAACAAAAGAGAUUUCUUGUUGAAAAAACCCACAUACCUUGAAUGAUGAACUUUAGAUCGAUACUCGUUUUUGAGAAGUUAAUCGUGCCUUUGAAUGAUUGUUCUAGGAGUUUUUGAACUAGGAACUUGGAAUCUUGAAUAAAUUUGCAGAAUUAAUGGGGAACUUUGGAGGUUCUUGAAGUUGGAUGUAGGAGCUUAGGGUUUUCUUUUUGAGGGAAUUUGAUGAAAUAUAACAUAUAAUGCUUCUAAUAGGCUUUGAUAUAGGGUUUGGAUAGAUUUCGGGUGAGGGGGGAUGAUCAAAACGCCAAUAAAAAUCAUAUAAUUCUCGAAUCUAUCCUUUGGUGGACUGUUUUGAUAGUCUGAAGUAGAUCAACCAUAACGUUUUACUCCAACAUCCAAAUUGGAUGAAACCAAUUUCAUUAGAAAGAGGACUCUCAUAUAUUUUCAUUGAUAUAUAGUAUCUCACCCAGAUCAUUGUGUACGAGGAAUUAUGAUCGUUUGAAGUUGACCCAAAAAUUUAUUUUUGAUAGCCUAAAGUAGAUCGACCAUAACUUUUUGCUCCGAUAGACAAAUUGGAUGAAACCAAUUUCAUUGGAAAGAGGACUCGCAGAUCUUUCCAUUGAUAUAUAGUAGAUCACCCAGAUCAUUAUCUACAAGGAGUUAUGAUCAUUUAAAAUUGGAGGAAAAAUACGCUAGGCCUCAGUACUUUUUCCUACACGUUUUACCAUUCACUACUAUUCACGGUUCGAUCGGAAUGUUCAUAAUUCAUCGCUCGGUUGUACGUUUUGGAUGAUCCACAUAUAUUUGGAAAGAUUAUUCAAUACUCUACACAAUGGUAUUUCAUAAUCUAAGACAUUACGCAUGGAAAAUUUAUAAUUCAUUCUAGAAGAUAGAACCCAACAAGUUUACGCACAAAAUUUCAAUGAAAAAUUUCCCGGGGUAUUACAUGAGCAGUCUUCAACCUUUCUCUAAUAAACUUAACUUUUUCCAUAGCUUCAAACACUGCAUCAAGCCCACACGUGGCAGCUUUACCUAUUUCAAACCAACCUAUGGGUGGUCUAUAUCUCUUACCAUACAAAGCCACAAAUGGUGCCAUCUCAAGGCUAGCAUGGAAACUAUUGUUAUAGGCAAACUCUAUCAUUGGCAAAUGCUCAUCCAAACUACCUUUGAAAUCAAGAGCACACGUCAUUAAUAUAUCCUCUAGGAUAUGAAUGGUCCUCUCAGCCUGACCAUCUGUCUGCGGAUGAAAUGCGGAACUCAAAAGAACUUGGGUGCCAGGACCCUACUGAAAUAUCCUCCAAAACGGAGAAGUAAAUUGAGUACCCAUAUCUGAAAUUAUAGAUCAAGGAGCUCCAUGCAGCCUGACCAACUCUCGGAUAUAUAAUUUAGCAUAAUCCUCAGCUGUAUAAGAUGUAUAAACUGGCAGGAAAUAUACAGAGUUAGUCAACCUAUCCACAACAACCCAAAUGGAAUCAUGAUGACAGUACAAAAGAGGCAACCCGAUCACGAAGUCCAUAUUCACCAUCUCCCACUUCCAAGUGGGUAUACUAAACUCUUGCAUCACACCACCUGGUCUUUAUUGUUCUACCUAAACCUAUUGACACGUUGUAUACUUUGCUACAAACUCAGCUAUGUCCUUCUUCAUACCAUUCCACCAAUAGAUUUCCUGCAAGUCGCGGUACAUCUUGGUAGUGCCUGGAUGAAUAGAAUAACGUACGCCAUGCGCUUCACCCAUAAUUCUCUACCGUAAGUCAUCAACACAUGAGACACAUAACCUACCAUGCAAUCUUUACACACCAUCUCCUCCUUGGGAGAAAACCUUUACAUUUUGGUCCUUAACUGACUCCUUCAAUUUGACCAAACUAGGAUCCCUAUCUUGCUUCUCCUUCACUUCUGAAACUAAAGAGGAUUCGGAACUACUCUGCACCAACGUACUCCCUUCCACUAAAUCAAGCAAUCUAACACCCAACCUGGCCAGACAAUGCACAUCAUGAGCUAACUCUCUUUUACCUUCCUCUAUAUAUGCAACACUACCCAUGGACAAUCUGCUAAGGGCAUCCGCCACUAUAUUGGCCUUGCCCAGGUGAUACAACACACUCAUAUCAUAAUCUUUCAACAACUCUAACCACCUCCUCUGCCUAAGAUUCAACUUUUUCUAGGUAAACACAUACUGCAAGCUCUUAUGAUCGAUAAACAAAUCAACAUGGACACCAUAAAGAUAGUGUCUCCAAAUUUUCAAAGCAAAGACCACAACAGCUAACUCAAGAUCAUGGGUGGGGUAGUUAUUACCAUACGGCUUCAACUGUCUAGAGGCAUAGGCUAUAACAUUAUCUCUUUGCAUCAACACACAACCCAAACUUACUCUAGAGGUAUCAUAAUACACCACAAAACCAUCAGUACCAUCACGCAAAUUCAACACAGGGCUUAAGUGAGUCGAGUCUUCAACUCUUGAAAACUUUUCUCACAGGAAUUAGAUCACUAGAAUUUAACUUUCUUUUGGGUCAACCGGGUCAUAGAAGACGCAGCAAAAGAGAAACCCUCAACAAAACGAUGCUAAUAGGCCACGAGACCUAAGAAGCUCCUAAUAUCAGAUGGAGAAAUAGGUCUAGGCUAAUUUCUAAUGGCUUCUAUCUUUUAGGGAUCAACUCUAAUACCCUCGGCUGAAACAACAUGACCCAAAAAGGCUAUAGACCCUAGCCAAAAAUCACACUUACUGAAUUUGGCAAACAACGAGUGAUCUCUAAGAGUUUGCAAGACAAUUCUAAGAUGAGCUGCAUGGUCUUUCUCAUCACGGGAAUACAUAAGGAUAUAAUCUAUGAAUACAAUGACAAACAUAUCAAGGUACUGCUUGAACACACGAUUCAUGACAUCCAUAAAGGUUUUUGGGGCAUUGGUUAGCCCAAAAGAUAAGACUAGAAACUCAAAGUGAACAUAACGGGUCCGGAAGGUUGUCUUUAGAAUAUCACAUUCCCUCACCUUAAGUUAAUGAUAGCCGAAUCUAUGGUCUAUCUUGGAGAAAUAAUUUACACCUUGAAACUGAUCAAACAGGUCAUCAAUUCUCAAAAGAGAAUACUUAUGUUUGACUGUGACCUUUUACAGUUGACGGUAGUCAAUGCACAUACGCAAAGCUUUAUUUUUCUUUUGUAGGAAUAAAAUGGGUGCACCCCAAGGAAAAAUAUCAGGUCUAAUGAAACAUUUGUCUAAGAGAUCUUUAAGUUUCUCCUUCAACUCCUUAAGCUCUGCAGGUGCCAUACGGUAUGGCAAAAUGGAAAUAGGCCAAGUGUUGAGAAGAAGGUUAAUUCCAAACUCUAUCUCUCUAUCGGGAGGUACCCUUGGGAGAUCUUCUGAAAAAGCAUUGGGGAACUCAAUAAUAAUAUCUACCGACUGGAUAGUUGGAGUCUCGGACUUAGUGUCCUCGACUCUAACUAAGUGAUAGAUGCAACCUUUGGAUAUAAGCUUUCUGGUUUUGAUAUAGGAGAUAAAAUAACUCUUGGGAGAUACCUAUCUCCUGGACCACUCAAAUACUAGCUCACCAGGGAAUUGAAACUUGACCACACGGGUACGACAAUCUAUAGAUACAUAACAAGAAUAAAGCCAAUCCAUACCCAGAAUAAGGUCAAAAUCCACUAUGUCUAACUCUAUCAAAUCUGCAAGUAUGACUCCAUGAGACACAGUAACAAGGUAAUUUCUAUAUACUUGUUUAGCAACAAUAGACUCCCCUACUGGUGUAGAAACUAGGAAAGGCUCAAAAAUCUUUUCGGGACUCAUUUGGUAAUUCACAGCAACAAGUGGUGUCACAUAAGAGAGAUUUGACCCGGGAUGUAACAACACAUAAACAUCAAGACAGAAGACACAGAGCAUACCAGUAAUAACAUUAGGGGAAUUCUCCUACUCCUGAUGGGAUGGUAAGGCAUAGAAUCUAUUCUGGCGUUGACCACCAGUAGUACUAGAAGAAAUGCAUAGAGCAGGGGCGGGACAAAGUACCGGAGCUAGUGCACUAGCAGCCUAUGCUUGAGGUCGGCCAUCUCUGUUCCCCUGUCUAGAAUGGGGGCAAUAUCUAAGUCUGUGGCCCUACUUGCCACAACCAAAGGAACCCCUCAAAUCUCUGAAACACUCCUCAAGGUGAUUCCUACCACCCUUAGCAUAAUAAGGAUAACGAGGUCUGUUGCCAACACUGUUCUACGAUCCGGACAUGAAAGGUCUACUCCCUUGCUCCUACCUGUAUCUAGGCGCGGGAGCACUAGCUAAUGAAGGAACAGGAACCGAUGGAUGUCUUUGAAAUUUUGGGUGGCUUCCUUCAUGGAAACUAGGCCAACUUUACUCAUGUUGUCAGAUCUAGCCUUUUUGUUACCCUUCAUUCUUUCUCUCUCUCUCUAAGCUUAUCCGUCUCUAUCUGUUAGGAAUGUAUCAUCAACCUAGCCAGAUCCAUAUCCUUAUGCAAUAUCGCAACCCUACACUUAUUCAGUACCAUCCUAGAAACACUGGUCACAAACUUACUCAUACUAGCCCGGGUGUCAAAAAUCAAAUCAGGAGCGUACUUGGCCAACUGAUUAAACUUCAAGUAGUACUCCUUAACAAUCAUGGAGCCUUGCCUCAAGUUCAUGAACUCCUAAAUCCUUGCCUCCCUCAUUUCAAGUAGAAAGAACUGGUCCAAGAAGGCAUCUUAGAACACUUGCCAAGUCAUAGAAGCGGCAUUCUCACCUCUACCCUUCUUCCAUGAUACAACCCAAUCAUAAGCAAUGUCCUUCAGUCUAUAGGAUGCCAAAUUAACACUUUCUUCUUCUGAAAUAUGCAUCAUAUCAGUAAUCUUCCUCACCUUCUCUAAGUACAAUUAUGGGUCCAAGACGGAAAAGGACCCAUAGAACUCAGGCAGAUUUAUCUAUAUAAAGACACAAUCCUAACCGUGGCUACAUGACUACCCUGGUAAUUAGAAACUGGGGCCUGGUUAUUGGCCUAAACAUUUGCGGUGACUGCUUGGGCUAGUGCCUGAAAGGCCGCCUUAAACUCAGCAUGGGACACCGUUUCAUUCAAAGGAUCAAUAGGUGGGGGUGGCUCAUCAUUGUUUCCACGGACAUUAGCUCUUCAAUGAGGCAUUUUCUGAGAAUGAAAGAGCACGGAUCAUUCGAUAAGAGGGAUAACUGUAGGCACGAUAGAAUCUGAAAGAAGAAAUAAUUUUUCCUAGAACGUCUCCUAGGCUCUUGCACAUAGAUGUGGUGCGCUACACACCGAUUAUCAAGACUCUACUUAUAGCGGCUUGUCAUAGUCCUUAGGACUCCUUAAAAAUCAUAGGCUCUGACACCAAGUUUGUAAUGACCCAAAAUCACCUUCUGGGACGUCACACAGUGCUUAAGGCUACAAGUAGACCCAAGCUAAUCCUUAGAGCUGGUUUCUACAAACAACACUCAAUUAAAGAUAAAAUAGACUUAAGCACUCACAUAAUCAUAUCACGUGAAAGGAAAUAUGGAAAGAUACUCGGUCCAUAUUACCAAAAUAUAGAGAAACCUCAACAAAACCACAAUAUCGAAAACCUCGACACAUCACAAGUACGAUACUAGUCUGACAAAAUCUCUACGAAUUGAAAAAUAGAGAGCUGUUGGUACAGGUCCAAAACUGACUCAAAAUGAAAUGAAGAUGAAACAUAGUCUCUGAAAUACAAAAAAUAUCUGAAGAUCGAUCCUUGAACCAUAAAGACUCACCACUAUAGAAAAUAUAGGCAAGGUACUCAAAGAAUCAUGAAUAAGGCUGGGACUGAGCACCUGAGCCUACAUUAUAAGAGAAUGUAGCACAUAGACAUAUAUGUGAAUCAGUACUUUGGAAUGUACUGAGUAUACGGGGGUGAAUGCAUAUGUAUAAAAAUAGUAUCGAUCUUCUUCAAUCAAAUCAUGUAUGCAAAAUGUGAGAACUCAGAUGGACUGAACAAGUAUAAAAUAUAAAGAUCAUAAGUGAUGUAGGAUGGAGCAUAUAACACAAAUCUCAUGAGUCAUCAUUGUUUAAUCUUUAAAAUCAAAAAUCUUCUCUUAUUCUCAACGCCCAUCAGGUAAGGAACUUUAAACAAUAACUUCAACUCAUGCAUAUGUCUCAUGGAGAGUAAAACCUUCUUAAUGCUCAAUAUUUCAUAACAAUUUAGAACUCAUAUACUUGGAAAUCGGAAUCAUAUGACUGGAAAAACAUAGUUGAAGGUAUUUUAUUCACUUUAGGAAAUUAUCUCAUUUCAAGCUUUAGGUAAAAUCAUGCAAUCUCAAAUGGAAAAGUAUUCUAGCUUAAGGAAAUAACUUAUCUCAAAGCUUUAUGAAAAGUACCAUAACAAGGGAAGAUGCUUUCAUGUAGGAAAAUAACUCUCAUCAAGAAAAUACCUUGGUUUGGGAACAUUUUUGCAUUUCAACCAUUUAGGAAAGUAGACUAUAAGAAAAUAAAAUAAGUAUUUGAUCUCUAAGUUUUAAACGGCAAGGGAGGUUCUCAUAACUAACAUAAACCAUGCGAGCUACAUGGUUUCCAAUGUUUAUCCUCUUAAGAAAGAGACCUCAUAUUGGGGAGGAGCGUCAUACUAUUGCCAGGAAGUACAACCUAGGUCUAGUGAUCACUAAACGAAACUCGACUUUGGGCCCAAUUAUAAUCAUCAUAAACUCAGCCUCAGGCCCAACCUUUGGUGGAACGUAGUUUUGGGGUAAGAAACCGUAGUGACUUACCCGCUUGGUGCUAAGUACUACUCCCUUUAGAUUAUCUGCGCUCAUCUCACAAAAAUUCACUUUUAGAAUAAUCUCAUGGUUCACCACAAACCCAAUAAUCAAAUCGAUAAUCUCAUAUGAUGAAGUGGAUUUCAAAGCUUUUGGACCAUUAGGUCAAUUCAUUUCUCAAUCAUCUCAAAAUACUCAAAUCAUGGGUGCUUAUAGCAUAAGAGUUCAUAAUUUUACAAGUCUCAAAUAGGGCUUACUAACCCAUAGUUCAAUCUCAAGUUAAAGCUCAUCAAAAGCAUAAUAUAUAGCAUAUAUAUUCAUAAAUCAUGUGGAAAUCUGGGAAUUUCAGCAAUUUAUCUUAAAAUCUCAAUAUAGUUAUAUGCUUCAAUAUCUCAACAUUGCAAAUAUGAGUUUAUCAAUGAGUAAAAUCAUGGGGUUUAUAUCCAGCUGUAAAUUCUCAAUAAAACAUGCAAAAAUUAUGCCAUUUGACUCUUAAUUCAUAGGAAAUAUCAAGAUAAUGCAUUUAAUAAUAAUGGGUGAAAAAACACAAUUCAAAUUUAUGUAAAAACCUCAUAGAUUUUAGGAAAUUAAUGAUGUAAAUAAGUCUUUUAGGAACAAGGAUGAAAGGGUUACCCUUGUUCAAAACCCCACAUGCCUUGAAUUAGAAGCUUUGGAUGAACUCUCACUUUUGGAAAUCUAUUCGUACUCUUAAAUGAGGGUUCUUGAGGCCCUUGACUUGGGAACCUUGAAUCUGACUCAAUUUAGAAAAUCCAUGGUGGAUUUUUGAGAUUCUUGGAAAAGGUUUUGGAUACUUAGGGUUUUUUAUGAGAGAAAACUCGAGAAAAACCUCAUAGGAUGCUUACAAAUGACUUUGAUUUGGUGUUUGCACGGUUUUAUAUGCUUGGAAAAAGUCCAAAAUGCCCCUUUUAAUAUCUAUACAAAUCUGAAAAAUUGAACUAGGAACCCAAAUUAAGGGGUCACCGCGAUGCGCCACUUAUCGCGGUGGCUUACUGGAAUUGACAAUUGGCAAUAUAGGAGUCACCGCGACUCAGAGCCAUCACAUUUUCCCACUAGUUGGGACUUGGAACCUCAGUGCAAUGCACAAAUAUCAUGGAUUUCCACUGGAAUUUUACAAUUGUCAAAUCUACCCUCUCCGUGACACGCCAAGCACUAAAAUGACACAGUUUUACAACUAGGUCUUAAAUUAGUCAUAAUUUCUUACCCGGGUAUUGGAUUUGGAAAAAUAUUAUAUCGAUGGAAAGCUUAUUAGAUUUCCCAUGUGAUAGAAAGUCAAAAUUAGUGAAAUUCUAUAUGGUUAACAUGAUACUCACUUAGGAAGCCACUUCUCAAUCUUUUAAGGCCGAAAUCAUGCCUCACUUGGCACGCCCUACGGCUCAAACUACAAGUGAACUUUGCGUGGACUUACAAAAACCCUAUUACUGAUACUUUCUUCUAAUUAGAACUCUUGACUUUCUAUAUCCCUAAUAUUUAUCAUACAACAACUUAAACAUAAACUAACUUAGAAUUUUCAACUCUUCAGUCUAUUAGCUGAACUUUCAAAGAUUCAAACUUAGAUUCUAACACUUAACAUCGAUAUCCCCACACCUUUAAUGAAAGAUAAUAACUUCCUUCAUAAACUAAUAAUAUCAUAUCUCUAAAUCAUAAUCACACCAUCAUACUUAAUUAUAUCUUAAUAAACUAAAUUCUUGUAUAUACUAUUUCAAGCCUACUAAUUCACCUUUCAUACAACUAGCCCCAUGAAAUAUAAUUUGGUCUAAUUCAAUUAACACUAUUCCCACUCCUCUAUUGUUGCUAAACACCUUUUUUAUGCUUCUAAUUUUUGAUCGUAUGUUGCCACAGUAUUUUGAGAAAGAAUUAAAAAAUAUGUAUGACUCCUAUGCACUAAGGUACUACCCCUUUAUUCAAUGACUGGUUUAUCAAGAAACUAAAACUUAAUGACUCUAUUUCUAAAAUAACCUAAAGUGAUUAUGUCGAAUACUGUAACUAAGAAAUUUCCGUAUGCCCAUCUGGAUGGAAUAGGUCUACCUACUGGGGUAGAAACUAUGAAAGGCUCUACUAUAGUUUUGAGACUGACUCCAAAAUGGACAACUAUAUCGGGGUUACAAAAAAAAUGUAAAGCCCCGGUGUAUAAUAAAGAAUAAAUAUAAAGAUGAAGGACCUAUAAUGUACCUAUAGAAAUAUCAGGAGAGCUUUGCUAAUCCUGUCGGGACUGAAGUGCAUAUAGUUCAUUCUGAUGCUGGCCACUAAUGGCAUUAGAAGUGGCACCCUGCCAAGUCGGGUGACCAGACAGAAUUUGAGGGCGACUGUGCUGACUUCGUAGACCAACCAUAUGAUAUUAUAUAACUCUGUGCCCUAGAUUUCCAUAUCCAAAACAUACAUCACUACCGGCUCUACACACACCUUUAUGAUUUCUACCACAUUCUUCGCAAAGUGGAUUAGUACAAACUUUCUUCCCACUACCCUAUGACUUAGAGCCUGGUUCUCAAUCUCGACUGUCAUUCCUAAACUUAGGAACUGGUGUACUGGCUGAAGGAGGAGCUAGGGCUAAGGAUUUCUGAUGGAACUAGGAAUGGUUUCACCCUCUGACGUUAGCAUAAAAUUACCUGUUGUAGCCCUCUUACUUUUUUUUUCUCUCUCUCUCCCUACGCUCCUCCCCCUCAAUCUACUGAGCAUCAACCCUAAGUAUAGAUACAACAAUAGCCUACUGAUAGUUUUGAGUAGCUACUAAAUGAUCCAAGGUAAUGAAAGCAGCUCUGAAUUCGACAUAGGAGACAUUCAUUAAGGGGUUCUUUCUGAACAAGCGGAGGUACGGGAUGAUUCCCAUUCCUCCUUUCAUUUUUCCUUAUAGGAUGCAUGGUCUAGAACAAAAUUGAGAAAAUAUUAGGAAGAGAGUUUAAAUUAGGCUCAUAAUUAUUCACAUGACAUGAACACUGAAAGAAGGGAAACUUUUCCUAAAAAUGUUUUGUAGCUUCUUGUCCAUAAGUGUGGAGCUCUUUACACCCAUGCACAAGACUAUAUGCAAUAUGGAUUUCAGACUCCCUACGAUGCUUUAAAACCUUGGGAUCUGAUACCAAGUUGGUAAUGUGUAAGACCCCGUAAAAGUUCUAGUUCAAGUCAGUCCUAUAUAGCUUGUAAUCUUAGAAAAUUUCAGCCAAGUGUUAACACUUAGUCUCAUUUUUGUCCACAAAAUUUCAAUGACAUCAUUUACAAUAUUUUUGGCCUUAGAUUGUAGAUUUUUAAGUUGAUUCAUGAUCAGAGAUGUUAAUAGGUCAUCUUGGGUGAGUUUUAGAAUUUUCAGACAUCAUUUGAGUCGCGUUUGGAUAAUCAACAGCAAACCAAUGCGAUCUCGAUGCAUUGCAUUGGCUAUUAUAUCGACGCGACAUAUUGGUAAUCGCAUCGACAAUAUCAACAUGGUGCAUCGACACCAUCGACAUGGCGCGUCUCCUGCUGUAUCACUAGGGACAAUUUGAUCAUUUAAUUUUGACUUUUCAAGGGCAAUUAGGUCCUUUUCCCCUCACUUAAUUCAGCCAAAACACAAAAUUAUGCUCCCUAAAGGGAAAAAUAAGUUCAUUAUUAACAAAAUACUCUUAAUAAAUAAACCCUAGUUCAUCAAGCUCAAGACGAAGUCCAAGAAAUCCCCGAAAUCUUAAUGAAUUCCAUCACUCAGGUAUGUUAGGUGUUCAUCCUUGGAUUUCCUUCCAUCUUUUGAGUUUAAGAACCCUUUUUAAAACUUAACUUAUGAUUCCCAUGUUAUGAAUUGAAUUAUGCUCAUGUUUGUGUUGUUAUUUGAGUUUCAAAGUUAAGAAAAUAUGAGUUUCAUGCAAAAUAGAUCAAUGGGUAUGUUGGUUGAUGUAGAUCUCAUGUCAAACCCUAAAUUAUGAAUUGAUUGUUGUAGUCGUGAUGCAUUAACAUGUGUUCAUUCCCAUAUACAAGGUUAUGCUCCCGAGGUAUUUGACAAAAUUUCUAAGUGAAUGAAUUUUGUAUUGUGAUCUUUUGGUAAUCUUAGUAUUGAAAUCAAGCUAUUACUAUAUGUCUAAACUAAUCCCAUGCUUAAGGUAUGCCUUGCAAGUGUUUGAUAAAAUGUCCAUAUGAGUGAAUCAUGCAUGGUAACCUAUUGUUGUGUUGUUAAAGUUGUUAUAUGAGUUUUUCAAUUAUGCUAUCGAGUCUUGGGGGUAUUUAUUACCUGAAAUCUAGCUAUUUACUUAGUUGCAGUAGUUAUAGAAUCGUCCCAGUAAAGGUCAAGAACAGUAGUACUCAGUCAGUUAACAAAACUCAGUGAACUCAAUCCAGUAUAGUCAGUUAACACGAUCAGUGUCAGUUAAGUCAAGACUAGUACAAUCUAGUAAUCAGUUCAGUGCCGAUUCAGUUGUGAGUAGGAUUCAGCAUCGAGUGAACCCAGGGAUAGGGGCAUUCCCACCAGUAGAGGGUUUGACCCUUAGUAGCAUUCCAUGCAUUAUGGAACUACGUAGCUAGGGUAGGGUAAGUCAUCUUUUAGCCAGACUAAGGUUUACACAAUAAUAGAUAUAUUUUAUGAGUCUUUCUAGAUUAGGGUUGACCCAACAUUUUUAGUAUUACAUGGCAAGGUGCUAACAUCUUUCCAAGUAGGGUUACAGGUUAGACCCUAAAUCAGUCUAAAUUGGGUUAUGUCAGUUAGAUAAACACUCUCACAAUUACAAUUUUAAUCUCAGUACUCAGCAAAGAACUCAGUCAAUUCUAUAGAACCCUACCUAUCAGUUAUUAAUUACUCAGCCAUCAAAAUUCAGCACUCAAUUUUAGUAUAAUCUCAGAUACACGAUGUAUAUUUAUAUGCACAAUAUAGCAUGUUCAGUAUGUUCAGUAGUUUCAGUUUUGUAUGUACUCUUAUCUAGUUACUUCAUGAUGUUUAUUCAGUCAAUUAUCAGCUCAUGCAUAUAAACCUAUGUCUAUCAAACUUACCUCACUUAGCAUACCAGUACAUUCCACAUAUUGAUUGUAUACUUUGCUUUGCACUAUGAUGUCUCAUAUCAUAGGUUCAGGCGCUCAGUUUCCUGACCAUACUCAGUAGCUUAGGCUAUCUGCAGCAGCUAUACUGGGGGUCCUCAUAUUUCAAAGACAAAGUUUAUCCAUUUUAGCAGUUUAGUAGUUAUUUCAGUCAGAGUUAGUUGGGGGUUUUUCCUAUCAACUCCAUAUUUAGAUAGGUAGAUGCUUUUAGACUCACAUAGAAAGUUAUUAAGUUUUCAGAUAUUAUAAUCGAUUAUACUCAAUUCCUAUUAUUUUAGUAUAUUGAUAACCAUAUGGCAUUUUCAGAUUUUUCCUGCAUAUAUAUUUUAGUAUUAUAUUCAGUGCUCACAGCAGGUACUAGUCAUGAUUAGCUUGUGGUCCUUUGGGGUCGUAAGCAACAUGUGGCACCUAGGGUAAAGUGUGGAUGUGUUACAUAAUGCCCCGAGAGUACACCCUGGAUGCCACAUGAUGCAUGUGAUCCCAAAAGACCAUAAGCUAAUGCAUGACUGGUACCUACUAUGAGCACUGAGUAUAACUGAUAUCAGAAGAUCAUAUUUGUUAUUUAACUGAAAAAGCUAUAAGGUUUUAAGACAUAGUUCUAAUAAAAUUUGUAAAACAAUACUGACAAUACUGAUAAAACGACUGAAAACUGACUAACUAUCUGCACUAGUCUAAAAAGCCUCUAUUGACUAACUGUGGAGUUGAUGGGACAAACCCCCAACUAACUCUAACUAAAUAGAAAAUACUUACCUAAUAAGGUAAAAUAAGAUAAAUAAAUCAUGUCCUCGAAGUAUAAGGAUUCACCCCUGCUACGAUUGAUAAUCUGGUAUGUCUAUGAGCGAUCAGGGAACUAAGCAUCUGAACCUAUAAUGUUAACAUCAUAGCGGAAGAAACGAGUAUAUAAUCAAUACUUUCAAUGUAAUGGAAGGCUAAAUGAGGUUAGGCUAAUAUGCAUAGUUUUAUGUGCAUAAGUAAUAACUGACUGAAUGAAUAUCAUGAAGUACUAAGGAAGAAAGUAUGAAAACUGUAAAGAUUCAGAAUGUAUGGCCAAGUAUAAAACAAGAUUCUAAAAUAGUUUGUGAACUGAAAAUACUGAAAUAAUAAUAGUUGAAUAACUUAUACUGCAUAAUAUGGUCAAGAAAACCUAAAAUUGAUUUCUAGAUUGAGACUGUGGGAGAUAGCUAUAACCAACAUGCCCUAAUAUACUAUCAGGGUUUAACUUGUAACCCAGUAUGAAGGCUAUUAGUAUCGUGCCAUGGGUACCACUAAUGGCUUCGUGGAUCCACUAAGAUACUGAAGAACAAGGGUAUUAAGGCUAAACUGAUGGGUUAUCCAUGAGCGGAGUCAAAUCUAAUCUGAUGGGUGAUCCCUGGCAGGAAGUCAAGCCUAAACUGAUAGGUGACCCCUCAUCAUACGCUUACUACAUAGUUCGGGAAUACAAGGACUGCUACAAAUGACUCUGCCUAACUGAUGGGGAAGCUGUCAUUCCUACACACGCUCGAUGCUAAAUCCUACUCCCAACAAAAAGAUACUAAAUACUAUUUUGAACUAGGUUUAACUAUUUAUGGUAAUUGACCAAACUAAUAACACUCAUAUCUAUUCUUAAACCAUUAUGUAGAUACUGAAAAACUAGGUGAGUAGCUAAAUUUUGGGUAUUUAACCCCAGGACUCGAUAGAAAAAAUAACUAGAUCAUACUAAAACUUAAAGGACAUGAUAGGUAAGUCAUUAUUCAAAACUCAUUCUCUUAAACAUUUUAUCAAACAUAUGAUUGUCAUGAUUUAAAGCAUGUGGAUAGUUUAAAACAUAUGGUAAUCACAUGGCUAUAAUACUAAAUCAUAAAUUAGGGAUUUAAUGUGUAAAUUUUAAUUUCAACAACAACUCAUUGUAAACAUCAUGUAUAAUCGGAAACCAGAAAGAUUCAUGGAGAUAAUUUAUUGUAAACAUGUAAACUCAUGAUUUAAAACUUAAAAAUAGCUUCUUAGACUCCAUGGGUGAAAAGGGUCCAUGGAUGAACAUCAAACAUACCUAAACGCCUUGAUCUAGAAAGAGAAUUAACUUUUGUUGAAUGUUCUUUGAUUGGAAACCUUAAAUUCUUGAUUAUCUUGAAGAGAGUGCAAGUCUUGAAGUUCUUGGGAGAUUACCUUAAGAAGAAACCAUAAUUUUCUUAUUGUUCCUUAGAGUAAAGAGAGUUAAUGGCAUCUAAAAGUGAUAAGUGAUUGCUAAUAACAUAUAAUAAUGCUUUAGGUUAUGGGGGAGGUAGGGUUUGAAGUGAGAAAAAGACCAAAAUACCCCUCCAAAGUUAGAUAAAAAUUGCUGAAAUUUUUAGUUGAUGACUUGAGUUGAUAGCUUAUCAACUAGUUGAUGACUUAUCAACUUAAGUCGUCAACUCAUUGUUAGAUUUGGGCCCUUGCUGGUCAUGGGUGAUAACUUGGGUUGGUGAUGUCUUAUCACCACUAGUAGUCACUUUGUGGCUGGAAUUAUCACAUACUGAUUAUGGGUGGCGAAUUGAUUUGAUAAGUCAUCACUUAGGUGACGGUUUAUCAACUCAAGUCAUCACUUGAAAGCUGAAGUUGAUUGUUUACUUGUUGGAAUGAUAAGUCAUCACUUAGCUAACGACUUAUCAACUCAGGUCGUCACUUUGUUGACAGACAGACAUGCUGAAGUAAAAGGAGUAUAACUUUCUACUCCAAUGUCGGAUUAAGGUGAAACCAAAUGCGUUGGAAAGAAGAUUCAAAGAUCUUUAUUUGGGUAUAUAGUAGGUCACGUAACUCAUUAUGUACAAGGAUUAAUGAUCAUUUAAAUUUGACCCAAGCUGAAAUGUCCCCUAAAACAUAACCAAUAGAAGUGUUCUUAACUCGUCUUUGAGUUAGGAGAUUAUUGAGUUCAGGUUUGUAUACUUAGGAACAAUGUUUUAAAUUUUAUCCCAAAAAUGUGGAGUGUUACAACUUGUGAGGGAAAGUCGUGUUAUAACCAUGUUGGAUUUUCACAUUAAAACUUGUGUUCUUACUCUUCCUACAUUGACUUUAAUUUUCAGCACCUCAUAAUUGCUCUACUGAUCCAUCACUUGAAAUUGAUCCCGAGGGACUUGGUCCCUCACCGUGCGGUGUAACCUCCAAGGGUUCAGCAAAAGGUUUACUUUGCGCACAAUAAUAAUAGCAAAUCUCAAACUAUUCACGGUAGGUGAAAAAAUGAAAUUGCAUGAAAAGUGAAUCAUGCAUGUUGGUGGGAAGUUUUUUUCUUUUUUUGUCUAUUUCCAUAAAAACACUUUAAAUUAAGUUUUAGGAAUUUCUAACCUUUUAGUAUAUACUCCCAUUAGUCAUCUAGGUUUCAAGUGAAACUUUUGGAACUCCAUCACUAACGUGUAUUCUAACUUAUAGGUAAGCGACAUGCACACAAUUAAAAUAGGAGAAAAAGAAUACAACAUAACGAAUGUUAAUAUAACAUAUUUAUGGCUUCACUUCACAUUUACUUAUUUUAGACCCUUUUUAACUAACUUCUUAAUUUAACUUUCAUUAUUUACAUUCUGUAGAUAGUAGUUAAUGUCUACAUGUAUUUAGUGAGGAUUCAUACAAAAACAUAUAAACCUUUUUUCUCUCUCUUUUCAGCUACAAUAGAGAUUAAUAAGGAAAGGUACAGGAAUCAACACCUAAUAUUUUUUCCACCUUCCCCAUAAUAAUCUCUUUGCAUAUAUAUAUAUAUAUAUAUAUAUAUAUAGAUAGAUAGAUAGAUAGAUAGAUAGAUAGAUAGAUAGAUAGAUAGAUAGAUAGAUAUAGAUAUGUAUAUAAUAGCAUAAAUAGAUUCUAUUAAAUUAAUCUAUAUAUAUAAAGUAUACAUGUACAAAAUGUAUAUGUAUACAAAAUGAAAACAACAAAUAUUGAAUAUUAAGACUUUAAGUAUAUACAAUCCGUAUACAAAAUAUAUUAAGACUAUAUGUGCAACAACAUGUACAUAUAUUUAAGGACAUGUAUAUACAGUUAAUCAAAUGAGUAUACAAAAUAUAGAUGUUUAUACAAUUAUAUACAAUUAAGGAUGUAUAUUUGUCAGUAUGUAUGAUUAUAGAUACAAAUAUACAUUUACUCAUAUCUUUAAGAUAAAGAUGAACUGAUACAAAUUCAAAUAUAUAAAAUGAAUAUAAAUUCAGAUUAUAUGUAUAAAUAUACAAAUUCAAAAUGUAUAAAUGUAUACAAACUAAAAAUGUAUAUAUUCUUUCAAAAUGAAUAUUGAUUGAAGAGUGAAGGAAAUAUAACAAACUAAAUACAAAAGUACAAAUGCGCUGAUACCAAUAUACAAACAACUUCACUUUAUGACUAAAAAAAUUUUAAAAUACAAAUAUACAUUUUAUAGAUGUAUUUCAACUGAGGAUGGUGAAGAACACAUCACUACAAAUGGCGGAAAAGAACCACUACUGGCUCCACUUAGACCACCAAGCAAAUCUGAAAGAAUCACUAUUACGCGUCCUUGUUUUGUCGUCGUCCAACUUUUAAUAACCCAAAAAACCCCUCCAAGCAAAAUUUCCUCUAACCCCUCUUUCCUAUACUGUUCUGACAGAACCGACAACGACAACAAUGAAAAUCUACCAAUACCAAAGUGUUUGUUUGUGUUAGAUUCAGUUUUUGAUUUUGUUAAGUUUAUCAGUUUUGGUAUUUUUCUCUUCGAGAUUUCAGGUGAAUAGAGUGUUCAAAGGAAUUAUUUUUUAUUCUAUUUGGUCGAACAACUUGGGGGUUUUCUGAAGAAGGAGAUGAUAAGCGACGCAACAAGGAAGAAGGGGUUGCCGCCAUGGGAUUUCGCCGAGAAGAAGGUGGCAAGGAAGAGGGGUGUGGGCUUUAUCUUCAAGGAGGUAGCGAGAAAGAUGAUUUCCAUUGAAAUCUCUUUAAUAAUGGUAUUAUUAUAUCAUGUGCAAAAGUAGCCAAGAAGAUGAAUGCGAAUGUUUGAAAAAUCAAGUGAGAGAGAAUGUGUAUUAGGUAUAUACGUUAUUUAGAACGUUUGUAUAUGAGAGCCCACAUAAAAAAUAGAUAAAAAAUUAAAAAAUAAUCAUGUAAGUUAAUUAUUUUAAUUAAAAGUUACAUAAAUUCAAACUCUUUUGAAGUUAAUUACUACCUAUCCCAUCUCUUUUCAAUAUUACUAAAAAAUUUUUGAUUUAUCUCGCAUUAAUACAUCACAUUUUUUGAAUACAUCACUUAAUUUUACACUGAUACAUCACAUUCUUCUGGAUGCAUCAUAUUUUUCUGUGAUGUAUCUGAGCUUUUAAGUAAAAUUAGAAUUUUAUAUUAUUUAAAAGAUUUAAAAUUUUAAAUACUUAUGGUAAGUUAAAUAGUAGUAUGAUAGAAUUUUUUCAUUUAUUUUCCAGCGAGGAAACCAAACCACCUUUCCGUCCCAUAGUUCAAUAGUAAAAAUACAAAAAAAUUACAUCAUAGCACUAAUAAUCCUAUUAUAUCUUUAAAAUGUCGUAUAUUAUUUUUUUAAUUACAUCUUGUACCAUAUUAUUAUGUAUCUGAAAAGUAAUUGUAACGAUUUAAUUGUUGGUGAUUUAUGUGAAAUAUUUAUUUUCAUGUGAUUUGAUUAUUUUAUCCCUAUUCAUAGUAACUUUGUGAUAUUUUGGGGUUUGACAUAGUUUCUGAUGCAUUUUGGUGUGAUUUAUGUGAUAUUGUGAUUUUUGCUUGCUUGAAUAGCCUUAUAGUUAGUUGACUUCAGUCAAUAUUUAUUGAUCUGUACAUUGGAUGGCUAAACGUACUGCGCCAGUAGAUCUGAAACAUCAAUUUAAGGGUGGUAACAUGGUUGGUAUGGUUUUAUGGCAUUUAUAUCUCAUUUCGACCCACCAUUUAGAGAGUUGUGAUAUUGGGUUUCAAGGGCCAACUUUAUGAAAAUGACAUUUUUUCAAAAAUUCGUUAUAAUCAUUGAAUCAGAAGUAUCGAAUUAGAUAGGGUAGCAAAGUUUGUUUGCAUUCACGAGAUUCUAGAUAAAUUCUGAGAGGUUCAUGAAGACUUGAAAUUCUCCAAGUUUAUAGCUGGUGCACUCGCGUAAGCGAUACUUUGAUCGCUUACGUGACUUGACAGAUCAGACCAAGUGUUGAUUAUGAGAUAUCUUGGUUGCGAUUGUGAACCCCACAUAAGCGAUGACAGGUUCGCUUGCACGAUGUCUAUCUCUAGCAAGGUAUCGCGUACGCGACACCUAGUCACUUAAGCGGUCGCUUAAGCGACCCUGUGAUCGCGUAUGCGAUGAGUGGAUCCUUUAAAUACCUAUGUUUCACUAUAUUUUCACCAUUUUUGUGACUUGGAGCCUAGGCUUUUGUGAUUUUGAGUGAUUUCCUCCAUUUCUAAGCUUGGAUAAGCACCAAAACACCUAUUUCAACUAAUUUUAUCAUUUAAAUCUAGUUUAAAUGAGGAAGUUUAAAAGUAAAAAUUGGAGAUUUUGGCUUCGGAGGUUUAAAAAUUGUAUUUUUGAAAUGUAAACCCAAUUUCAAUAUGUUUUUACUUGGAUGAGUUUCUAGUCUUAUAAUUAUCACUUUUCUCUCAAUUUCAUCUUCGAAACAACUCCAAUUCUCGAUUUUAAACUGAAUUUCUUGAGUCUUGCUAGUAAAGCUUGAAAAUAAUUUUUUAUCGAUUUGGACCUUAUUUUUAACUCGUUUUCGGCUGGGUUUUUUGUUGUAGCCUCCUAAGAGUAUGAAAAACAUGUUUCAAAAAUUAAAUUAUAAUUUACCCUUAUUUUUUUAAAAUUCAUUACGGGGGUCCAUUUGACUCCGACUCAAAAUUAGGCAAUAUGAGUAUCGUUGACUUUUUUUUAUGCAUAGAUUCUAUAUUCCUAUGUAUUUGGAGUAAGUCUUAGAAGAUUUUUGGAUCGAUUUUCGGCAUUCGAGGUGGGUUAUGGCUUAACUUUCUUCAAAUUAGGUUGGGUAUUUAAUGCUGAUACAAAAUCAUGUUAAGAGUGUGAGAACUAUUAAUAGAAAUGACUAUAUUUAUUGUAUUGUGCCCAUGUAGGAGUCUCUAUAUUAAUGUUAUUUAGUAGUUUUGGACUAUUAUUUACUAUGUGUGACCGCGUGGGGUUCUAUAUAAUAUUAUUGUCCUUUUGUACAUGAAAUUAGUUGUAUCUUGUUUGAUAAAAAAAUCUAAUAUGGUACAAUGGUCACUUUUAAUGUAUUUCAUUCUAUUGGUAUAUGGACUAUGUUGGAUUCAUGGAUGGUUGGAUUAAUGAGUGAAUUUUGACUCACUUUGUGGGAUAUUGUUUGGAUAUGAAAUUUCUUAUUCUAGUUGGAUGUGAGCAUUACAUCCUCAUAUCAAUUCAUUCAUGAAAUAUUGGUACCAUCUUGAAAAUACUUGAAACACUAGCUUUUCUGAUAGAAAAGGUAAUAUCUUUAAAACCUUCUACUGAUGGAUGACCUAGAGAGGAGAUAAGAAUAUUGGUAUUGGAUAUUGGUUAUGUACGAAUUGGCGAACCCCCCAUGAGUCAUACAUUGAAAAACUUUAGCUCUGUAGGUGUGUAUGGAGGCUGUGUGAUGACCCCAUGCAUCACACCAUCAUCAUCAUCAUCAUCCCCAUUGAAUUUAUAUUUACAUUGUACCAUUAUUUGUGUUGCAUUAUCUCCCUUGAUGUAUACCUGUCUAAGUGUAUUUCUUCCUUUAUAAGUGUAUGUGUGAUAUUUGUAUACUUAUAUUCCUUUUUCGUAGUCUAUGGUGUAUGUGAAUAUUAUAGAACUAUUAGUGAAGACGGUGUGAGCUACCGUUUGGGACAUUUUUUUGUUGCAGGUGACGUAUCCUUAGUAUGUAUUUUGUAUGUUUUAUUUUCUACUUUUCUCAGUCGGCCUAUGAUACCUAUUUAGAAUAAGUAAACCGUACUAACCCCUACUGUGCUCUUUCAGUGCAGAUCUAGGUUUGAGUGUGCCUCACGGUGGUUGAUUUAAGAGACAUUUGGAGCUUUUCGAGGUAACGGUUGAUUUCAUGCGUCUUGAGUUGACUACUAUUUUUCCUUAUUUAGACUAUGUCUUUAUUUGUAUUCUGAGACAGAGUUGUUCCUAUUUUGGAUAACUUAUGUAUUUUGAUCUCGAGUUGUACUAGUUAUGUUUGUAUUGGUAACACUAGAUUUUGCGCUUUGGUCUGGUAUCAUUGACUAUGUUUUUUCACUUUUACUAUAUAUACAUGUGGUUCGACUCUGCUCUAGGAGUUUUGCUGUAGGGUUUGAUAUCAUUUUUCUCAAUUCAUAUUAGUUUGGGUGAUAAGCUUGCUUGUCAAGGCUUACCGUGGUAAGUGCCAUCAUGACUCUUGGAUUCUGGAUCGUGAUAACAAUGUAUCUGAAGAAUUAUACAUCCGAAGAAACUUGUACGUGAGAUGAUAUAUCAUUAGUUAACUUAUAUAUCCCGAAUAAUUAAUUAUGAUCAUGAUACAUAACAAUCAACCUAACUUAUGUAUAAUGAAUUAAUUAUGGGCAUGACAUAUUGAAAGUUAUCUAAUAAUACUACACCUUAUAUAAAACAAUUCAACGUAUUCGAAGAAAAGUAAUGUAUCUAGCUAACAAUUAUUUGGAAUUUUAUGUAAUAUUUAAAAUAUAUGAGGUAUAGAGUAAUUAAGUAUCAUAGUAAUGAGAUUUAUAUUGUUUAUGCCACUUUGAAUUUCUUGUGAAGUCCACUUUCUUGUUAAUAUUGACUAAAACAAAAAUGUGUGUAUUUCAAAUCAGUAAGAUUAAAGUUCAUUUAUAAAUGUGAUAAUUAUUUUUUCCCAUAUUUCACCCAUUAGUCAAAUGAUUCGAGAAAAUAUAAAAUAUUAAUGGCCUGUCACUAUUGUUCUUCCUUGUGGGUUUGGAGAAUGUUGGAGGGAUGGAUGUAAAAAGGUUGACAUUAAAUCAAUAGUACUACUGAUUAUUAUGCAUAUAAUAGAAAGAAAAAAAAGAAAUAUACUAUUGAAGAAACAUUGUCAGUUUAGGCUUACAGCUGAACUUUGUUGGUUCGUCAAAUUAUGUGUUUAAGACGAACAUUUUCAAUGCAUGGCAGGUGCUGAGAUUUAAGUACUAGUCUUAAUUAGGUCUAAGCAUGAAUUUGGAUAUAGUAGAUUCACUUUUAAUAAAUGGAAAAGAGUCAGAAAUACCUUUCAAUUGACAUGGUUUAAUAGAUUUGAUCGGGUAAUUUUAGUUGGGUAUGAAUUUAGUUAUAAGAUAAUAAGAUUUAAACUAAUUUAAUUUACAAUCAAUAGAAACGUUACACGUAAUAAAUACUAUUUUUAACUAUGUUUAAAAAAGAUUCGUUAGCUGUAAGGAAAUAUUUAAUCCAUAAAGGUGAAUAAAAGGAUAUUUUUGGCCUAAUAGAUAAACAAAUAAUAUUUUGAAUCAAUUCCAAUAGAAUAUUUCUUACCCUUUUACAUUUAGUAAAAAGUGAUUAGUGAAAACUGGUUCCGUUUCAUCAUUCCAUGAAAUAUAAAGAAUGUCGCGUCACUUCAUGCUAAUAAAAUAGUGUCAUAUUAUCAUAAAUUAUUGAUGUCAUUUUUGGUAAUCUUGAAUCGACUUGUCUUCUCUUCAAUGCAAUCUAUUAAUUAAAAGCUCAUAACGAACGCACAUAAAUUAUUGUCUUGUGGUUGUUUUUACAAAUCAUUAGACCAACAAGAAAUGAAGUUCCUACUAUAUGUAUUUGGUAUUUGGUCCCCUAAAUUGCACAAAUCUCUUUAGGAUUGGACCCACACGACAGUAUAUGGCUCCUUCACUCUUAUUUUUGGGUUUCUUAACCAAUGUCUCCUGCAGGGUCCGACUAAUUCGAAUUCGAACCUCGUAAGAUUCAAUCAAGGGAGCGCGCACUACUAGAAAUUAGGUCUAUGAGAACAAAUUUUUUGGCGAUGAUUAUAAAUACAUUGCUAUAGAGUAACUGCAGCAACACUAUCAAAAAUAAUUGUUUAUUAGCACUAUAACCAUUGGUACUGAAAAUAAACCAUCGCAAUAGAUAUAUAUAUAUAUAUAUAUAUAACAACACUUUUAAAAUCAUUGCCAUAAAAAUAUCUAUGGCAAUGCUUAUUCAGGAAAAAUUAUUUAUCGCAACACUUAUUAAUUCCCUCCAUAAUAUUUCACAUAAAUCUGCCUAUAGAAUACAUCAAAAACCCCUAUUUCUCUUUCUUAUGAAAAUCCCUCUCUUUCUCAUCAAUCAAAAACCCAUUUCUCAAAACCUGUUUCUCUUUAGAUCAAUCAAUCGUCUUACUACCAUUUUCGACAUUUUUGUCACCGUCGGUGUAUUUUGUUCUUGUCAACAUUCUUUUAAAAAUUAACUAAUUUUUGUGUAUUUUGUUCCAUGUUUUAUUCUUCUUUUCUUAACCUUGCUUAUAUAUAUAUAUAUAUAUAUAAAAACUAAAGAAGAACAUUUAAAAUUAUUAGAACAGUUCACAGAUAUAAUAGUAAAAUCGGGAAUAAGUCUAAGCAAAAAGAAAGCUGAAAUUAUGAAAAACCAGAUAGAAUUUUUAGGAAUACAAAUAGAUAAAAGUGGAGUAAAAAUGCAACAACAUAUAGUACAAAAAAUAAUAAAUUCGAAAGAAGAAUUAGAUACAAAAAAGAAAUUACAAUCAUUUUUAGGAUUAGUAAACCAAGUAAGAGAAUAUAUUCCAAAAUUAGCAGAAACCUUAAAACCACUGUAGAAAAAAUUAAAAAAGGAUAGAGAAUAUAAUUAUGAUGAAAAAGAUAAAAAACAAGUUCAAAAAAUAAAAUUACUUUGUAGAGAAUUACCUAAAUUACAAUUUCCAGACGAAAAUAGAAAAUUUAUAUAUAUAGUAGAAGCAGAUGCAAGUGAAUAUAGUUACGGAGGAGUACUUAAAUAUCGAUAUGAAGCAGAAAAAAUAGAACAUCAUUGUAGAUAUUACUCAGGUACGUUCAACGAAACAGAAAUAAAAUGGGAAAUAAAUAGAAAAGAGUUAUGUUCAUUAUAUAAGUGUUUAUUAUCAUUUGAGCCAUAUAUUGUAUAUAACAAAUUUAUUGUACGAACAGAUAAUACACAGGUACGCUGGUGGCUAACAAAGAAAAUACAAAAUUCAGUUACAACAAAAGAGAUUCGAAGACUAGUUUUAAAUAUAUUAAAUUUCACAUUUACAAUUGAAGUGAUUAGUACUAACAAAAAUGUCAUUGCAGAUUACAUAUCAAGACAAAGCUACACAGACUGAUAUAGUAGAGGAAGAUACUCUAGAAAAAAUACUUAACACCCUAACUACGCUUUCAAUGAAAGUGGACAGUAUGGGUAAUGAGAUAGAAAAGCUAAAGACUAAUGAAGAUAAACUGAAGUCUAUAGCUACAAAUCAGCUAACUCAGCAAUGUGCAGAGCUAUGUCGAUCGAAAGACAUUAAAAAUCCAGAGCUAGAAGGAGACGUUGGGACACUCCAUAAAACCCAUAACAUUUAUCAAUCUACUUCUGCAGGUACAAGCAAAGGAGUUAAUAGACCAAGAUACCAAAAUGCAAAUAUGAAUAAAAUAUUCGAAAAACCAUUUACCCCUAAAACACAAAAAGACCAUUUAUUCAUACCCCCACAAGUUAAUACAUACCGAGACAGCCUAAACCAAGACAAGAAAAUAUACAACUACACAUCCCAAAAAUACAUAGAAAAUAUAUACAGAGUCCAAACAUUUCUAAACCAUAACCCCAGAGCUACAGAUAUCAAAGAACCAAACACCAAUUAUAUAACCCAAAAAUUACAAGGAUACAACAAACUGAUAGCACUACCCAAAACUAACCCAAGCCUAGUUAAAACCUGUUUUGACUAUGGACUACUAAAUACCAUAUACACCCAAGACGGAGAAGAGCUAACAGCUAUGGAGGAAUUAUACAAGAUAUUUACUACCUAUAAAAGAAUAACAAAAGGAACUUUAUUUUAUAUAAAAUGUUAUACGGCACCAGCAGAGAUAUUAUAUGAUGAGAUA